CCUACGGGAGGCAGCAGUGGGGAAUAUUGGGCAAUGGGCGAAAGCCUGACCCAGCAACGCCGCGUGAAGGAAGAAGGCUUUCGGGUUGUAAACUUCUUUUGACAGGGAAGAGCAGAAGACGGUACCUGUCGAAUAAGCCACGGCUAACUACGUGCCAGCAGCCGCGGUAAUACGUAGGUGGCAAGCGUUGUCCGGAUUUACUGGGUGGAAAGGGCGUGUAGCCGGGCUGACAAGUCAGAUGUGAAAUCCGGGGGCUCAACCCCCGAACUGCAUUUGAAACUGUUGGUCUUGAGUAUCGGAGAGGCAGGCGGAAUUCCGGGUGUAGCGGUGAAAUGCGUAGAUAUUAGGAGGAACACCAGUGGCGAAGGCGGCCUGCUGGACGACAACUGACGGUGAGGCGCGAAAGCGUGGGGAGCAAACAGGAUUAGAUACCCUGGUAGUC
rnacentral:rRNA from 1 species